rnacentral:rRNA from 1 species
AUUGAACGCUGGCGGCAUGCCUUACACAUGCAAGUCGAACGGCAGCGGGGGAGAAGCUUGCCUUUCCUGCCGGCGAGUGGCGAACGGGUGAGUAAUACAUCGGAACGUGCCCUGUAGUGGGGGAUAACUAGUCGAAAGAUUAGCUAAUACCGCAUACGACCUGAGGGUGAAAGUGGGGGACCGCAAGGCCUCAUGCUAUAGGAGCGGCCGAUGUCUGAUUAGCUAGUUGGUGGGGUAAAGGCCUACCAAGGCGACGAUCAGUAGCUGGUCUGGGAGGACGAUCAGCCACACGGGGACUGCGACACGGCCCAGAGUCCUACGGGAGGCAGCAGUGGGGAAUUUCGGACAAUGGGCGAAGGCCUGAUCCAGCAAUGCCGCGUGUGUGAAGAAGGCCUUCGGGUUGUAAAGCACUUUUGUCCGGAAAGGAAUGGCUCUGGUUAAUACCUAGGGUCGAUGACGGUACCGGAAGAAUAAGGACCGGCUAACUACGUGCCAGCAGCCGCGGUAA